rnacentral:lncRNA from 1 species
UUACCUUGGAAUAGCUAAAGAAAAAAAGGAUACAUUGGUGAUCAAUUUGAAAGAACCCCAGUAUGUUAAUGAGGAGUGAUGGAUCAACUACUUGCAUCAUGCCAUGACGUUAAAUCAGUCGUUGUGUGGGGGGAAACCCACAAAUGUGUUGUAAAUUAUAGUAUGUAAAUCCAUAAAAAAAAAAAGUUGCCCUACCUGGUGAUGAAAAAUUCAUCGCACCGCAGAAAUCACUAAAGCAUUGAUA